UGCAGCUAGCUCGCGAGACGUGCCGCUUCCCAACCAGAUGGCGCGCGGCACAGACGCAGAUAACGUUACUAUCGCCAAUGACCGAAUUCCCCCCAAAUAUUGCGAGACUCGAAUUACCGUCCGGGGAGAAGAAAACAAGAAAGGGGAAAUCCUCCCACAUCUAGCAGCUCGUGCUAUCGGAGCCCCGCUAGCUAGCCGUCAUAGCACGGGGCCGUGUGGGGUAGCUGGUCUGAGGGGACCAGCGGGCGGGCUGUGGCGGACGGUGGCAGUCGGCUGGAGGAGAAGUUUCAACAUGGAGAGCGUGGAGCCGACUGGUGGAUCCUGCCGCUGCGGUUCAUCUGGCUGAUGCUGCCUGCCUGCUGCUCCGGGAGGGGAGCCGUGGCGACACCUGUGGCGGCGGCAGCGCAUAGCACCCUGCCGGAGAUGAGGUCAUACGGUGACCCCACCAAGACGUUAUCCUACAUUUUAAUGAUCACAAGUAUUCAGGCCCAAUCGUUGAACAUUAGUUCUUCAUGAGUCAACAUGUUAUCCCCUCUGGAAAGAUACAUCUUUAAGAAAGCAUCGGGCAGUCCUGCAUAUAAAUUAAAGAUGUAUAUCUACAUUUAAUUACACAAUGUGAAACCACUUAAUUAGAAAGUAAAAGUCAUAUGUACUGUUACUGCCCCACUCAAAGACUGCAGCAGAAAUGUGAGAGCAAAAAAAAAAGAGAAAAAGUAAUAAGCAUUAAUUUUCACAAUAAACAUGGAAAGUCAGUAAAGUAAUCCGAUUGGAUUAUUAUAACUGAUGCUUUAACAACACUCUACCACGAACACAGUAUAGCAAGGUUGUAUAUAAGUACAGAACUUGAGUAGUUUCACUUCCCACCACUGCUUAAAAUAAAAAGGUCAUCCUACCCUUUCCAUUCUCACAAUACAUAUGUAAGCUCUACUGUUCACAGAAAAUUUUUAUUUUUUGAAAUACAGCAAAAAAUAAAUAAAUAUUAUCGAAGUGGAAAUA